rnacentral:rRNA from 1 species
GAUACCCCAGGUCAGGCRGGGCUACCCGCUGAGUUUAAGCAUAUCAAUAAGCGGAGGA